rnacentral:rRNA from 1 species
AGUGAACGCUGGCGGUAGGCCUAACACAUGCAAGUCGAACGGCAGCACAGUAAGAGCUUGCUCUUACGGGUGGCGAGUGGCGGACGGGUGAGGAAUACAUCGGAAUCUACUUUUUCGUGGGGGAUAACGUAGGGAAACUUACGCUAAUACCGCAUACGACCUACGGGUGAAAGCAGGGGAUCUUCGGACCUUGCGCGAUUGAAUGAGCCGAUGUCGGAUUAGCUAGUUGGCGGGGUAAAGGCCCACCAAGGCGUCGAUCCGUAGCUGGUCUGAGAGGAUGAUCAGCCACACUGGAACUGAGACACGGUCCAGACUCCUACGGGAGGCAGCAGUGGGGUAUAUUGGACAAUGGGCGCAAGCCUGAUCCAGCCAUACCGCGUGGGUGAAGAAGGCCUUCGGGUUGUAAAGCCCUUUUGUUGGGAAAGAAAAGCAGCAGGUUAAUACCCCGCUGUUCUGACGGUACCCAAAGAAUAAGCACCGGCUAACUUCGUG